CCCGCCUCUGUGCGAGGGCCAUAUCCUCCUCUGGCCGACUGUGGCUCCAUUAGCUGUUUGCCGGUAACUUGAACCCUCUCCCUCUCCCGGGUAGGGGGCUGUGGGCAUUCCCUUUGUGCCUCCUCCCGGAAGGACCUGGGGAUAAUUUCAGCACACCCUCGGGGGCCGGCCGCUAUGACCAACUGUCAGCCAAGGCCCCUCUUCGGCACAACUCCUUCCCAAAUCGGGAGCUGGUGAGGGAGCCGCUGUGGAGAACACCAGCUGUACCCCAGGAGACAAGACGCAGCAGGUCUUGGGCUUUGCUUCUGGUCGGUCUGCACCCCUGCUGUGUGACUCUGGGUGGGUUGCCCGACCUCUCUGAGCCUCGUCUCAUCUGUACAACGCGGUGACAGUAUUGUAGAGGUAGUGACCCAGAGGGCAAUCCAAGCCAAAUUCAAAGUCAGAUGGGGUCUAGCCCUGGCGUUAAGGCUGCUGUGGGCUGAAUGUUUGUGUCCCCUCCAAAUCCGUAUGUUGAAGCCCUAAUCCCUAACGUGAUGGUGUUUGGAGGUGGGGUCUGUGGGAGGUGGUCAGGUUCGGGGGACAGUAUGAGGGUAGAAGUCCCGUGAUGAGGUGGGUGCCUUUAUAAGAAGAGACCGGAGUUCUCUCUCCCUGCCCAUGCCCCCCACCCCCCGGCAACCACACGAGUUCCGGGGAGAAGGCAGCUGUCGGCAAGAGAGCCAUCAGCAGGGACCAAAUCAGCCAGCGCCUCGAUCUUGGACUCCAGCCUCCAUAACUGUGGGAAAUAGAUGUUUAUUGUUAGAACCACCCAGUCUACGGUAUUUGUUACAGCAGCCUGAGCCGACAAAGACAGAAAUGGGUACUGAGACGUGGGCACGGCCGUCAUAAAUUUCUAAAACGUGGACAUGUCUUUGGAGCCAGGUAAUGAGAAGAGGCUGGCAGAGGUUUGAGACACACGCCGGAAAAAGCCGAGGCCGUGAACAGACUGUCAAAGGUGACUUUGGUAAGAGAGCUCAGAAAGGAAAGAGCCAGAGAGACAGCCUCCGUUUCUUAGAGAUUUCAAACAGGACGGCACCGAAAGUAAGGCAGCCAGCUGCCUGCACCCAGGAGGCAACGGAACACCAAAACCAGGGGACCAGUUGUGCAGUGCCCGUGGCGAACACCCUGCUGCUGAGGACCCCUUUCCUGCUGCGGCUUCAUGGCCUGCGGCUGUAGCCUCCGGGGUGAGGCGAGACUCAGACGCGCAGGACGUGAGAACCCGGCCGGGAAGAGGCUCGGCCUGCAGCCGGGGCAGGUGCAGAGCGGAAUGGGAGCCGGCCUGGGAGGGCCCGGUGCCCUCCGGUUCUGGUGGGUCUCAGAGCCUUUCUCGAGGACUGACACCGGCCUUCACACGUGGCCUCUGGGGAGCUGCGUGAGGCCCACGGAGACCAGGGCAAAGCCAUCCCCACAACUGGAGGUCGGUCGUUCGGAGCAGAAGGCCCCAGGCGGCUUUGGGGGAUGAGUCAAAUUGGAAGAGGCCGGGCCCAUGCACAGGUGCAGCCAGACCAGAGGCGUGGAGGUUUCCUGGGGACCACGGCUGGCCGAGCGAGGCUGCUUCAGUGGGUUUGUACAUCAGAAGGUUUGGAUCAGAAGCAUCUGGAGAGCGGUGCGGGGGACAGACAGACAGCAGCAUGGGGACAGACAGCAGUGUGCGGCAGGAAGAAAAUGCAGGUGGCUUUAGUUGUGUAUAAUUAAGGAGUCUCCAUCCGGGGUCUCCCUUAUCCUGGGAGCUUGCACGUCGCCCAGGCCUCCGGGCAGAGGCGCAGCAAGGCCCCGGGGUGUUAUCUGCUCCCGUCUGAUGUGGGAGGGGUCGGGCAAAGAGGCGAUUCACAGGCGCGGCCUCAGCAGAAGCUGAGCUGGGUGGGGUUGGCCCCACGGGAGGCAGGGGCGGCCAGAGGGACCUGUGUGCGAGAGCCGGGCCCAGGCUCCCCCACCCCCACCCCGGGGCCCCCUCCUCACUAAUCGGGUCCUGAGGCACAUCCGCUGAGGGCCCCUCUCACCCAGUAACUCCUGAAAGAAACUCCUGAACGCGGGCCCUCCCAGAAGGGCUCCGUGUUCCUGCGUUCUCGAGAAGGCCUUUGGCCAAAAGCCGCAAUCGAACAUUUCCCCCCCUCCCACCCCGGGCAUCAGCAUCACAGCCACGCGGCACUCCCUCAGACCUGCUGUCGAUACGGACACCCCACCGCGGUGGCAAAAACCCCCGGCCGCAGAUAAUCAAUCCCCCCGGGUCCCUCCGCACCAGCUCAGGAAGGCAGGUGAUCGUUGAUUCUGUCGGCCACGCAUCGGCCUUCCCGCUUCGGUUUUCCGUGAUCAGUGUAAAGGCAAAGGUGAAAAUGUUAGAGGGCCUUCCAAACGGAACCCCCCCGCCCCCCUCCCGCGGAGGUGGUCCGGCGGGUAGGGGUGGGGGCAGGUUGAGCAAGGAGGAGGCAGAGAGGUCAGCGGAUCCGGCAGGUGUCAGAGGAACGGGAACCCCGGGCUACACCAUCUGCGUCCCCUCUCUGCUGGCCGUUAACGAGACCCCGUGAGUCUGCUCUGCACCCCGGGCUUCGCCCACAUCCCUCAUUUCAGCCUUACUCCUCCCUGGCGAGGCCGUCGUCCCCUGUUCCCGAUACUGCACGUGGGCCUCCGAAUGAGGACAGCGACUCCUUCCUGACCUCUGGGGCUGGGGGUGGGCGGGAGAGGGUCACCAGGACCGCAGACACAGGUUCACUUAGGAGCUGCGUUCAGCUACUGCCUCGGAGCUACCGCGGUCGGUGGCCCGCCGGGAGGCAAGACGCGGGGACUAGGCCGCAGAGUGUCUGGGCUCCUUGCGUGAUGGCAGGGCACGACACCUGUCCCUCAGGUCCCCUCCCGAUUUCAGCAGCGGGAAGAGGACGGAGGAGGAAGGCCAAACGGACGCGUGCCAGCUACACGGGUGCCCCGGGAGCUCUCCUGGGACCUCCUGUCACACCUGGGUGGACCCACCCUCUGAGGGAAUGACCAUCUCCCUGUCAUAAGGGGGACCUGUGGCGUCAAUGAGGAAAUUCACAUAACCGUGCCUGAGCAUGGCGAAGCCUCGGUAAACACUGGCCGUUCAUCGUCGACGUCAUCGCUGUUACUCAGGGGUUGGCCUGACACCUGCCCGUCCUCAGUGGCCUCGCAGAGCCCUUGUAGUCCUGGUGCCCUGAGCUGCGGGGCACAGUCUCCUCCGGGCCCUCCCGGAUACAUGCUAA